UACGGGGGGGGCAAGCGUUGUUCGGAAUUACUGGGCGUAAAGGGCUCGUAGGCGGCCAACUAAGUCAUACGUGAAAUCCCUCGGCUUAACCGGGGAACUGCGUCUGAUACUGGAUGGCUUGAGUUCGGGAGAGGGAUGCGGAAUUCCAGGUGUAGCGGUGAAAUGCGUAGAUAUCUGGAGGAACACCGGUGGCGAAGGCGGCAUCCUGGACCGACAUUGACGCUGAGGCGCGAAAGCCAGGGGAGCAAACGGG
rnacentral:rRNA from 1 species